CAAGAAGCGAAGUAAAAAAUGGGGAUCGGGAUUCCUAACUAAGCUAAGAAAGAAACCCAAAAUCAAGAUCUACUUCUGCUCAAAUCAUCCUUGCACGCCAUCCCAAUCCCAAAUCAAGCAUCCAGAUCUAGAAAGAACCUACUAUUUCAAUGAGCUGAGCUAAUAACGUUGAGUUUCCAUUGCCACACGGAGACAACCAGAGAUGCUCUUCACCUUCUUGCAAGAAUCGAGCUAAAGUGGAGCACCAUUCUUGCUGAUCUCCACUUGAAGUAAGCAAAUUAGAGAGAUUGUAGAAAUAAAGUUGUAAGAUGUUUUCCUUCAUUCCCCAACGAAACCCUAAUUUCUAUCUUCUGGGAGCACCUCGAAGUUCUCACCAGGCACUGCUUGAUAAAUUGGUUUAAGCUUUGUGCAACAAUCUGCCUCCCACCAUACCUUAAUCACUUGAUGCACCUGAAUCAAAUUCAUAUGUAGUCUUGUAGCAUUUUUGAAUACACUCUAUACCUCUGUAGCAAAUGAGAUAGUCAGGAACACAUGUUGUAUAGUUUCUUAAUGGAACUGCCUACAACACCAACACCUAGAAACCAUGGAGAUACGCAUUCUCCACAGUUGAUCACCUGUAGGUACUUUAAGAUUUCAAAGUCUGGAGAGAAAGCAUGAGAUUUUAAAAUGUACUCCCUUGAUCCACAUGCGGUCAUAAAAGGACUGUAUAGUUGCUUUAUGUCUAAUGAUGUUCCAUGCACUGCUGAUAGUGAACUUGUCUGUACUAGUUGUCAUUCACCAUGGUCUAUCCCAAUAUCCUUUUAACUGCUGAAUUUGAACCUUAGUUCUGAUAUGAUAUGCAAUGUCUUCUGGGAAAGUUUGUUGCAAUAGUUGAUUAUUCCAUGCUCCAUAUGUUAUUAAUUCUGAAACUGUAAUACCCCAUAAUAACUAAACGGUAUUUUAGUAACUGAAAAAAAAAGGGCAAAUGAUGAAACAAGAUAAGUUUAAAAAAAAAAAAAAAAAAAGAAAAAAAAAGAGAGAGGAUACAAUGGGCCUUAGCCCAUCAGAUACGUAUUAAGGAAAAAUAAGGGCAUAAUGUGAAGAGAUUUCAGUUGAAGUUUGGUCAGCCACGUUUGCAAACAAAGAAAGAAAUAUGGGACGUGGGUUUCUGCCUCUCGUUCUAGUGAAGGAGCACGAAGGUAAUUCAAGGCAUAGAUAAAUAAUUGAAGAGAGCAGGAGAAGAUAAAGGUAGUUGAAGAAGUCGUACGAGUUGCUCGAGGUGACGAGUUUAGUAUUUCAACACGAGUACGAUACCACAGGUGACAUUGGUGAGAAUUUCGUUAUCUAGAACACGAGUUGAAAGUUUCCAGUGAGCCCCGCACUUGUUCGCGUGGGCGAAGAGUCUAUUCAUAUGUUAUGAUCUUUUCUUUGAGCUCUUAGAGUUGCUCCAAAGUCAUUUGAUUUGUCCCAUGAGUAUUCUUUUAUUAUUAUAGACUGGUGACUAGUAUUAGACGUUUUUCCCAUAUUUCAGAGAUGUUUUAGUAUUAUCACGUUGAAAAUGGGUUGAUUGUGGAUGCUUGUUGUUAGUUUGGUUGAGAUUGGUUAUUUC